rnacentral:rRNA from 1 species
UACGAAGGGGGCUAGCGUUGUUCGGAAUUACUGGGCGUAAAGCGUGCGUAGGUUGUUAUUCAAGUCAGAGGUGAAAUCCCAGAGCUUAACUCUGGAAUUGCCUUUGAAACUGGAUAGCUAGAGAGUGAUAGAGGUGAGUGGAAUUCCUAGUGUAGGAGUGAAAUCCGUAGAUAUUAGGAGGAACAUCAAUGGCGAAGGCAGCUCACUGGGUCAUUUCUGACACUGAGGCACGAAAGCGUGGGUAGCAAACAGG